rnacentral:rRNA from 1 species
UCCGUAGCCUGCUCUGUAAGUUUUCGGUUAAAUCCAUCAGCUCAACUGAUGGGCCGCCGAAAAAACUGCAAAGCUAGGGAGUGGGAGAGGUAGACGGUACUCGAUAGGAAGGGGUAAAAUCCUUUGAUCUAUUGAUGACCCCCUGUGGCGAAGGCGGUCUACCAGAACACGUUCGACGGUGAGGGAUGAAAGCUGGGGGAGCAAACCGGAUUAGAUACCCGGGUAGUCCCAGCUGUAAACGAUGCAGACUCGGUGAUGCCCUGGCUUGUGGCCAGUGCAGUGCCGCAGGGAAGCCGUUAAGUUUGCCGCCUGGGAAGUACGUACGCAAGUAUGAAACUUAAAGGAAUUGGCGGGGGAGCACCACAAGGGGUGAAGCCUGCGGUUCAAUUGGAGUCAACGCCAGAAAUCUUACCCGAAGAGACAGCAGAAUGAAGGUCAAGCUGGAGACUUUACCAGACAAGCUGAGAAGUGGUGCAUGGCCGUCGCCAGCUCGUGCCGUGAGAUGUCCUGUUAAGUCAGGUAACGAGCGAGAUCCCUGCCUCUAGUUGCCACCAUUACUCUCAGGAGUAGUGGGGCGAAUUAGAGGGACCGCCACAGUUAAUGUGGAGGAAGGAAGGGGCCACGGCAGGUCAGUAUGCCCUGAAACUUUGGGGCCACACGCGGGCUGCAAUGGUAGUGACAAUGAGUUCCUAAUCCGAAAGGAGGAGGUAAUCUUCAAACGCUACCACAGUUAUGAUUGAGGGCUGCAACUCGCCCUCAUGAAUAUGGAAUCCCUAGUAACCGCGUGUCAUUACCGCGCAGUGAAUACGUCCCUGCUCCUUGCACACACCGCCCGU